AACGCUGGCCGUCAAGGAGUUGGACAAAACUUCAGAUCCAUUGGUAAGAACAAGAGUCCAAUUGAGGUCAAGUUCACUGGCAAACAAGUGUAUGAUUUGUAAGCUGAUUAUGGUAUUUUGUGCCUUUUUAUGUAAUGUAAUGAUUUUGUGAUUAUUUAGUGCAUCGUUUCAUGUAAUUUUAUUUGCCACUACAAAAUACAGCAUGGGAUUCUAUUAUUCUUCUCGUAUUAUUUCUCUGUUUGUCUGAACUGUCUCUUUUUCACUUUUGUUCUAUUGUUGUGUGUUGCUUUAAGUUUUGCUCUUAUAGUUAAAGGGUGACAAAGGAUAGGGAUGUUAUAAUCAUACUAGGUUGUUUCCGUUGAGGAUGACUACGCUUUUUUAAUUUCACUUAACUGAGGAUAACUACCCUUUUUUAAUUUAGACAAGAGGGGUUGCUUUGAUGGUAAGCAACUUCCAUUUUCAACCAAGAGGUUGUGAGUUCGAGUCACUCCAAGAGCAAGGUGUGGAGUUCUUAGAGGAAAGGAUGUCGAGGGUCUAUUGAAAACAACCUCUCUGAUAGGUUUAAGUUCUGCGUACACACUAUCCUCCCGCCUCAUGUCAAUGUUGUUGUUGUUGUUGUUGUUAGUAAAACUUAUUUGUAAACUCUACUUGAUUAUGUUGCCUUUUUUGCCGGGCUUUUUAGCCAAAUAGCCUAGCAGAAACUAGACACCUCUAGUAGAGGGGAUGGGAUGUCUGGGACAAGUAGACGUGUUUAUUAGGUUAUUCGGUCUUAUUUUUUUUUAUACAAAUAAUACACUUCAUGAGCAGUACGAGUCGUAUAACAACGUUUGCAAUUUUAAGCCCUUGUUUAAAUUUAAACUAACAAGUUGCCCAUUUGUCACCCCUAAUCCCAAUUAAAAUUUAUGCUUGUAUGUUGUUGCAAUGCAAACUUUCAAUACAAACUCGUAGCAAGUAGAAUAGUGUAUUAAAAAGAUAAAAGAUAAGUGUUACAGAGAAAUAAGGAAAGAUUUAGCAAUUUGACGGACUUUAUAAGCAAAAAACCUCAACAUUAAUUAAAGUUUGUCUAUUGAUACAAGUGGUAAGACCAACAAUUAGUCAGCAUUCAUGACCUGCCGAUGGCUACUUCCAGUUCAAGUGUAUAUAUUUAUCCCAAAUGGAAAUAAUCAUAAGUAUAUGAAAGUUAUUGGUUUCAUUGUGAGUAUCAAAUUUUAAUAUGCUUAAUAUUGUAUGUACCUAUUGUUGAAAAGGCACA
rnacentral:lncRNA from 1 species